UACGUAGGGUGCAAGCGGUGUCCGGAAUUAUUGGGCGUAAAGAGCUCGUAGGCGGUUUGUUGCGUCGGCUGUGAAAUCCCGAGGCUCAACCUCGGGUCUGCAGUCGAUACGAGCAAACUAGAGUGUUGCAGGGGAGACUGGAAUUCCUGGUGUAGCGGUGAAAUGCGCAGAUAUCAGGAGGAACACCGGUGGCGAAGGCGGGUCUCUGGGCAACAACUGACGCUGAGGAGCGAAAGCGUGGGGAGCGAACAGG
rnacentral:rRNA from 1 species